rnacentral:rRNA from 1 species
GACGUAGGGCGCGAGCGUUGUCCGGAUUUAUUGGGCGUAAAGAGCUCGUAGGCGGCUUGUCGCGUCGGCCGUGAAAACCCGUGGCUCAACCAUGUGGUCUGCAGUCGAUACGGGCAGGCUAGAAUUCGGUAGGGGAGACUGGAAUUCCUGGUGUAGCGGUGAAAUGCGCAGAUAUCAGGAGGAACACCGGUGGCGAAGGCGGGUCUCUGGACAGUUCCUGACGCUGAGGCACGAAGGCCAGGGGAGCAAACGGG